rnacentral:rRNA from 1 species
ACUUGUAUCAACGGCACCACGAGGGUUAAACUGUCUCCUUUUUCAUAUCAGUGAAACUAAUCUCCCCGUGAAGAAGCGGGGAUAAUUUUAUAAGACGAGAAGACCCCAUGGAGCUUUAAACCCAUCUACACUCCGCUUAACUCUACCUUUAAACCUCUCGGAUCCUGUAUGUUCUGGUUUUAGGUUGGGGUGACCGCGGAGCAUAAACUAACCUCCACAAUGAAUAAAUUUUUUCUUUAUCUAAGAUUAACACCUCUAAGAAUUAGUAUUCUAACAUAAAAUGAUCCGAUAUUCGAUCAACGAACCAAGUUACCCUGGGGAUAACAG